CGCGUCGGAAGUGUAAUCUUGGGGCUUAACCCUGAGCGUGCUUUCGAUACGGGUUGACUUGAGGAAGGUAGGGGAGAAUGGAAUUCCUGGUGGAGCGGUGGAAUGCGCAGAUAUCAGGAGGAACACCAGUGGCGAAGGCGGUUCUCUGGGCCUUUCCUGACGCUGAGGAGCGAAAGCGUGGGGAGCGAACAGGCUUAGAUACCCUGGUAGUCCACGCUGUAAACGGUGGGUACUAGGUGUGGGGUCCAUUCCACGGGUUCCGCGCCGUAGCUAACGCUUUAAGUACCCCGCCUGGGGAGUACGGCCGCAAGGCUAAAACUCAAAGGAAUUGACGGGGCCCCGCACAAGCGGCGGAGCAUGCGGAUUAAUUCGAUGCAACGCGUAGAACCUUACCUGGGUUUGACAUGGAUCGGGAGUGCUCAGAGAUGGGUGUGCCUCUUUUGGGGUCGGUUCACAGGUGGUGCAUGGCUGUCGUCAGCUCGUGUCGUGAGAUGUUGGGUUAAGUCCCGCAACGAGCGCAACCCUUGUUCACUGUUGCCAGCACGUUAUGGUGGGGACUCAGUGGAGACCGCCGGGGUCAACUCGGAGGAAGGUGGGGAUGACGUCAAGUCAUCAUGCCCCUUAUGUCCAGGGCUUCACACAUGCUACAAUGGCUGGUACAGAGAGUGGCGAGCCUGUGAGGGUGAGCGAAUCUCGGAAAGCCGGUCUCAGUUCGGAUUGGGGUCUGCAACUCGACCUCAUGAAGUCGGAGUCGCUAGUAAUCGCAGAUCAGCAACGCUGCGGUGAAUACGUUCCCGGGGCUUGUACACACCGCCCGU
rnacentral:rRNA from 1 species